GUUUGAUGAUAGAACAGCAAAUGCUAUAUGCUCGGCAUGCUUUCAUUCAUCAUCGAGGAUUAUGAUUGCCUCUUUAUCCUUUCUUCUUGAUUAUGAGAAAAUUGAAGAUGACUCAGAUAGUGAUAUGGCAGAUAGUGAAGAUGAGCAGACAGCCAAUCAGCCUCAGGUUUUGCUAAACAAAGAGGCUAUUUAUAAGGCAAAUAACAAGGGUACAUCAUCCAGCAAAAAGAAAAAGCAAGCAAAGUUGCAGCGUGCCGUCCGCAGCAUGAAGAAGCAGCAGCGCAUGCAAUCUGAAAAUAACAACAGUAGUUAUUAUUCCCCAUUAAACCACUUAAAGGAUGCUCAGGGAUUUGCUGAAAAGCUUUUCUCACGUCUUCAGACUUGCGAUGAGAGGUUUGAGGUUAAAAUGAUGUUGAUGAAAGUAAUUGCCCGAACAGUUGGGCUCCAUCACUUGAUUUUGUUGAACUUCUAUCCUUACCUUCAGAGAUAUGUUCAGCCCCAUCAGCGCGAUGUGACAAAUUUGCUUGCUGCAGCGGUUCAGGCAUGUCAUGAUAUGGUGCCUCCUGAUGCUGUUGAACCAUUAUUUAAACAAGUAGUCAAUCAGUUUGUGCAUGACCGUUCAAGGCCUGAGGCUAUAUCUGUCGGACUCAAUGUAAUCCGAGAAAUAUGCUUACGCAUGCCUUUGUUGAUGACAG
rnacentral:misc_RNA from 1 species